GCAAAAAAGAAUAAAGCUGAAAAAGCUGAAAAAAAUGGUAACAUGAUGUAUAGGGUCUGACACCUGCCCGGUGCUGGAAGAUUAAAAGGAGAUGUUUGUGCACUAAACGGAAGUCUCAGUAAACGGCGGCCAUAACUCUGAUGGUCAUAAGGUAGCGAAAUUCGUUGUCGGGGUAAGUUCCGACCUGCAUGAAUGGUGUAACGAC
rnacentral:ncRNA from 1 species